CUGAAGGCUGCGUGAGGGAUUGCAGCGGAAACCCCGGAGGCCCCGGUUUGUGCUUAGAAAGUUCUCGUGCGAUAUGGAAAUCGCACGUCCUGGGGGAGUUGUCAACCCGCUAAGGAUUGCCGGGGCCGAGGAGUUGGAGCGGAAAGCCCGACCCGAA
rnacentral:sRNA from 1 species